CUACAUUCCACUUCCAUUAAUUUUGUAGUAGCUUGUAUUAGAUAAACCUUUCUGUAGAAAACAAUUAUUCUUGAGGGAAAUAAAAAAAUACUUGAAGGCACUGGAUAGUGGCCAAAAGCAGACAGAAAUUGGAGAGGAAUUCAUCCCUUCAAUAUAGCAUUUUUUAUGGAGAUUUGCCUUGAUAUGCCUUUUGUCUGAAGGCACUCUGCAGUCUGUACAAUAUAGGGCUACAAGAAUUCAAGAAGAGAACAUUAUUCUUAGCAGUUCAAGGAAUCAUUAAAUGGAGUUAGGGUUAACAGAACAGAGAGUGAGGUGUCAGGAAGGCGGGAGCCUAAGAGAGAACCCCAAAAUGUGCACAUAAACUCUGCCCAAACAUCUGGAUGAUCCCUAAACUAUGUAUGUAUGAGGAAGACUCUGAGGAGCCCAGUGAAAAGCAACAGGUGAAAGUCUGAAAGAACUUACUAGAGAUUUCAGCUACUUCCUCUCAUAUGGGAGGGAGUUUGGGGUUUGAGUCCACCCAAGUUAAUUGCCUGAGAGAAAAAAUAAUCAACAUUUUUCAGAGGGUGAUAACAGUAUCCAAUCACUACAAUGUUCCCUCCAAAAUGUCUGGCAUACUAUAAAAGAGUAUUACACACACACACAGUGACAAGAAAAUACAAUCAAAAGAAAUAGCAGUCAAUAGAAACAUACUCUGACAUGACCCAGAUUCUGGGGUUAACAAAGACUUUAAAGCAGCUAUAUAAAUGUUUUCAAAGAUUUUUUUAAAAACAUGAUUAUAAUUAAUGAAGAGAUGUGGAAUUUCAGCAAAGAAAUAGAAGUUAUUAAAAAGUGCCAAAUAGAAAUUCUGGAGCUGAAAAGAUAAAAGGCAUCUACCAAAAAUCUACUAUAAAUAUUAUACUAAAUGGUGAAAUAUAAUUUUCCUCCCAAAAUUAAAAAUAAGACAAGAAUCUCUGGUUUCAUUACUUCUAAUUAACAUGAUACUAGAGGUUAAAAUUGUAAUGGUACAAUAAGGAAAAGAAAAGAAAUAAAGCAUAUAAGGAUUGGGAAGAAAGAAGUAAAAUGUAUUAUUUACACAGAACACAAUUUUGUACCUAGAAAAUCCAAAGGAAUUUAUAGAUAAACUUCCAAAGUUAAUAAGUCAAUUUAGUAAACUCACUGGAUUCAAGGACAAUUAAUAAAAAUCAAGUAAGG
rnacentral:lncRNA from 10 species